AGCAGCCGCGGUAAUUCCAGCUCCAAUAGCGUAUAUUAAAGUUGUUGCAGUUAAAAAGCUCGUAGUUGAAUUUCGGGAUCAAUGUGUUGGUCGUGCCUUGGUACGUACUGGCAUUAUCGAUUCCUACCUUCUGAAGAACCUCGAUGUCAUUAAUUUGGUGUCUUGGGGAAUCAGGACUGUUACUUUGAAAAAAUUAGAGUGUUUAAAGCAGGCUCGCGCUUGAAUACAUUAGCAUGGAAUAAUGAAAUAGGACGUUUGAUUCUAUUUUGUUGGUUUCUAGGAUCGACGUAAUGAUUAAUAGGGAUAGUUGGGGGCAUUAGUAUUCAAUUGUCAGGGGUGAAAUUCUUGGAUUUAUUGAAGGCUAACUACUGCGAAAGCAUUUGCCAAGGAUGUUUUCAUUAAUCAAGAACGAAAGUUAGGGGAUCGAAGACGAUCAGAUACCGUCGUAGUCUUAACCAUAAACUAUGCCGACUAGGGAUCGGAUGAUGUAAUUUUUAAUGA
rnacentral:rRNA from 1 species